rnacentral:rRNA from 1 species
AUUGAACGCUGGUGGCAGGCCUAACACAUGCGAGUCGAGCGGAUGAAGGGAGCUUGCUCCUGGAUUCAGCGGCGGACGGGUGAGUAAUGCCUAGGAAUCUGCCUGGUAGUGGGGGAUAACGUCCGGAAACGGGCGCUAAUACCGCAUACGUCCUGAGGGAGAAAGUGGGGGAUCUUCGGACCUCACGCUAUCAGAUGAGCCUAGGUCGGAUUAGCUAGUUGGUGGGGUAAAGGCCUACCAAGGCGACGAUCCGUAACUGGUCUGAGAGGAUGAUCAGUCACACUGGAACUGAGACACGGUCCAGACUCCUACGGGAGGCAGCAGUGGGGAAUAUUGGACAAUGGGCGAAAGCCUGAUCCAGCCAUGCCGCGUGUGUGAAGAAGGUCUUCGGAUUGUAAAGCACUUUAAGUUGGGAGGAAGGGCAGUAAGUUAAUACCUUGCUGUUUUGACGUUACCAACAGAAUAAGCACCGGCUAACUUCGUG